ACAGAAAGGACUACUAGUUGCCUACGUUCUUCCUUAAUAACAAAAUCCUGAUUUCACUUAGGUGGCAACGAGCCAGUGUCCAUGAGCUGGAAGAUGACAGUGUGCGGCCUUCCCUGCAAGUAGAUGUAUCCAUCCUGCAAGGUGAAUGUGACGGUUGGAGUUCCAGAAUCUAUUGUAGACCACGUAGGUGGUGGAGAAGAAAGGAAGAUCCUAGGCCCCUUGUGCCCAUGAAGCCACCAAAUCAGUCUGGACUGCAUAUCCCUGAAUUUCUUUUAUAUGAGAGAAUAACCCCGUAUAUUGAAGCUAUUGUAGUCAAGCCUGAACUGAUAAAAUGGGUGAACUCUCA